rnacentral:rRNA from 1 species
ACCCGCUGAACUUAAGCAUAUCAAUAAGCGGAGGAAAAGAAACCAACUGGGAUUGCCUUAGUAACGGCGAGUGAAGCGGCAAUAGCUCAAAUUUGAAAGCUGGCACCUUCGGUGUCCGCGUUGUAAUUUGUAGAGGAUGCUUCGGCGAGGACUCCUGCCUAAGUUCCCUGGAAUGGGACGUCACAGAGGGUGAGAAUCCCGUAUGUGGCGGGCGGUCCAAGCCAUGUGAAGCUCCUUCGACGAGUCGAGUUGUUUGGGAAUGCAGCUCUAAAUGGGAGGUAAAUUUCUUCUAAAGCUAAAUACCGGCCAGAGACCGAUAGCGCACAAGUAGAGUGAUCGAAAGAUGAAAAGCACUUUGGAAAGAGAGUUAAAAAGUACGUGAAAUUGUUGAAAUGGAAGCGCUUGCAACCAGACUCGCUCGCAGUUGCUCAGCCCGCCUCUUGGUGUGCGUACUCUCCUGCGGUCGGGCCAGCAUCAGUUCGGGCGGCUGGAUAAAGGUGUCGGGAAUGUAGCACCCUUCGGGGUGUGUUAUAGCCCGGCGCGGAAUGCAGCCAGCCUGGACUGAGGAUCUCGCUUCGGCAAGGAUGCUGGCGUAAUGGUUGUAAGCGGCCCGUCUUGAAACACGGACCAAGGAGUCUAACAUCUAUGCGAGUGUUUGGGUGUCAAACCCAUGCGCGUAAUGAAAGUGAACGGAGGUGGGAACCCGCAAGGGUGCACCAUCGACCGAUCCUGAUGUCUUCGGAUGGAUUUGAGUAAGAGCAUAGCUGUUGGGACCCGAAAGAUGGUGAACUAUGCCUGAAUAGGGUGAAGCCAGAGGAAACUCUGGUGGAGGCUCGCAGCGGUUCUGACGUGCAAAUCGAUCGUCAAAUUUGGGUAUAGGGGCGAAAGACUAAUCGAACCAUCUAGUAGCUGGUUCCUGCCGAAGUUUCCCUCAGGA